rnacentral:rRNA from 1 species
UUGGCCUACGGGAGGCAGCAGUGAGGAAUAUUGGUCAAUGGACGCAAGUCUGAACCAGCCAUGCCGCGUGCAGGAAGACGGCUCUAUGAGUUGUAGACUGCUUUUGUACGAGGGUAAACGCAGAUACGUGUAUCUGUCUGAAAGUAUCGUACGAAUAAGGAUCGGCUAACUCCGUGCCAGCAGCCGCGGUAAUACGGAGGAUUCAAGCGUUAUCCGGAUUUAUUGGGUUUAAAGGGUGCGCAGGCGGCGUGUCAAGCAAGCGGUAAA